CGAAAGUGCCGGACGGUUUGGCCCACGGACCGCUUUGCCCUCCCCCCCCACCGGAGCCGCCAGGUGCCCCUGUGCGCUGGCCAGGGGACGCGCCGACAGCGUUCUGCGUCCUGUCCCGGCUCCAGGGCUGCAGCAUUCCCCCCACCAGGCACCUAAAGCCAAGUACCUGGAAAAAAGUGCCUCCACUUGCAGGGUUUUUUUUAUACCACAGGCACUCGGAAUUGCACCGAUAAUUAAUGGACCUACUGAGCUGAGAUGUGCAAAAAGUCUUAUGAGGACAAUUCAAACGACUGUCUUCCCCUUCUGGAGAAGGCCUUCCCCCACCAAUGGUACCCCCCUGCACCAAGGUCACUGAGUUUUUCAUCAAAUAGGGGUUGCUUCAGACUUUAUUCAUGCAAAAGUUGCCUCCUCUGACUCCAGGCUGUUAUUUUCUGAGAUGCAAUUGCCAACCUGACAGAUCUUGCCUCUUCCUUUAAAUGAAUGAAGCCUCCAAAAAGAUUGGACUCAGAAACAUUCAACGUGACACAAACGGGCUCCACACCCAACAUUUUCUAAAGUCUAAGUCUUCAAAGCACAGGAUUUUACAAGGUGGAGCAUAAUCAGACUAAAUAAAUAAGUCAAAUAGUAGCAAAACAUUCCAAAACGAAUUCCCCAAACUCCUAAAACCUAAGUAGCGCCUUAAACUUCUUAGUCAUUUUUUUAACCAGAUCACCCAGCAGCUCAGCUUCUCCCCAUGAGCUUUUUUAAUCACUCA